rnacentral:rRNA from 1 species
GACGAACGCUGGCGGCGUGCUUAACACAUGCAAGUCGAACGGGAUCCGGGCUUUCGGGUUUGGUGAGAGUGGCGAACGGGUGAGUAACACGUGAGUAACCUGCCCCCUUCUUUGGGAUAACGUCGGGAAAUCGGCGCUAAUACUGGAUAUUCUUGCUGCAUCGCAUGGUGUGGUUUGGAAAGGGUUUCUGGUGGGGGAUGGGCUCGCGGCCUAUCAGCUUGUUGGUUGGUGAUGGCCUACCAAGGCUUUGACGGGUAGCCGGCCUGAGAGGGUGUCCGGCCACACUGGGACUGAGACACGGCCCAGACUCCUACGGGAGGCAGCAGUGGGGAAUAUUGCACAAUGGGCGCAAGCCUGAUGCAGCGACGCCGCGUGAGGGAUGACGGCCUUCGGGUUGUAAACCUCUUUCAGUAUGGAACAAGGAUCCUUCUUUUGGGGGGUUUGAGGGUACGUGCAGAAGAAGCGCCGGCUAACUACGUG